rnacentral:rRNA from 2 species
AUUAGUGGCGAACGGGUGAGUAACACGUGGGCAAUCUGCCCUGCACUCUGGGACAAGCCCUGGAAACGGGGUCUAAUACCGGAUAUGACUGUCCAUCGCAUGGUGGAUGGUGUAAAGCUCCGGCGGUGCAGGAUGAGCCCGCGGCCUAUCAGCUUGUUGGUGAGGUAGUGGCUCACCAAGGCGACGACGGGUAGCCGGCCUGAGAGGGCGACCGGCCACACUGGGACUGAGACACGGCCCAGACUCCUACGGGAGGCAGCAGUGGGGAAUAUUGCACAAUGGGCGAAAGCCUGAUGCAGCGACGCCGCGUGAGGGAUGACGGCCUUCGGGUUGUAAACCUCUUUCAGCAGGGAAGAAGCGAAAGUGACGGUACCUGCAGAAGAAGCGCCGGCUAACUACGUGCCAGCAGCCGCGGUAAUACGUAGGGCGCAAGCGUUGUCCGGAAUUAUUGGGCGUAAAGAGCUCGUAGGCGGCUUGUCACGUCGGUUGUG